rnacentral:rRNA from 1 species
UGAUCCCGCCGGACUGACUGCUAUCGGAUUGGUACUAAGCCAUGCGAGUCAUUGUAGCAAUACAAGGCGGACGGCUCAGUAACACGUAGUCAACCUAACUCGUGGACGUGGAUAACCUCGGGAAACUGAGAAUAAACCACGAUAGAUCAUAGUGCCUGGAAUGGCUUAUGGUCCAAACAGUUUACUGCCAUGGGAUGGGACUGCGGCCUAUCAGCUUGUUGGUGAGGUAAUGGCCCACCAAGGCGAUUACAGGUACGGGCUCUGAGAGGAGUAGCCCGGAGAUGGGUACUGAGACACGGACCCAGGCCCUAUGGGGCGCAGCAGGCGAGAAACCUUAGCAAUGUGCGAAAGCACGACUGGGUCAGUCCGAGUGAUUCCUGAUAAAGGAGUCUUUUGCCUGUCCUAAAGGCACAGGUGAAUAAGGGGUGGGCAAGUCUGGUGUCAGCCGCCGCGGUAAUACCAGCACCUCGAGUGGUCAGGACGUCUAUUGGGCCUAAAGCAUCCGUAGCUGGCUCUGCAAGUCUUCGGUUAAAUCCACCUGCUCAACAGAUGGGCCGCUGGAGAUACUACAGAGCUAGGGAGUGGGAGAGGCAGACGGUAUUCAGUGGGUAGGGGUAAAAUCCUCUGAUCCAUUGAGGACCACCAGUGGCGAAGGCGGUCUGCCAGAACACGUUCGACGGUGAGGGAUGAAAGCUGGGGGAGCAAACCGGAUUAGAUACCCGGGUAGUCCCAGCUGUAAACGAUGCAAACUCGGUGAUGCAUUGGCUUAUGGCCAAUGCAGUGCCGCAGGGAAGCCGUUAAGUUUGCCGCCUGGGAAGUACGGACGCAAGUCUGAAACUUAAAGGAAUUGGCGGGGGAGCACCACAAGGGGUGAAGCCUGCGGUUCAAUUGGAGUCAACGCCGGA